UGCAGUAAACAAAAGAAGACUCCACAUAAGGAACGGGAGUCUAUCUCAGCCUUGACGAGUCUCAUGCAGGAGCCUGGCUCUCCUGAGGUCAGGAAGCCUGGAGCAGACAUGUCCAACUGUAAGGAGCACGCUCAGCUUACCAGCUUCUCCAUCGUCUUUGAAUCCAAGAGUACAGUGUGAAGAGAUAAAAGGUGUCCCUCAGAGGACCUUACAAAUAAUCAGCUUGACCCAGCAUUUAUCUUAAUGCAGCACCGUUUUGUGUGUUUAUGUAGCAUUUCAAAUGAAACCGACCAUGCACUGAACUUUGUAGCUGACUGGCAUUAAUGAUUUAAAAAGCAGUGAGUUUUCGCACUUUUCAGCCUUACAUGAACUUUGCAUUUUGUUUGUAAUAUUUUUUAUACAUGACAAUCAAUAAAACCAAUUGAUGACAAUUA